CCUUCCGUAGGUGAACCUGCGGAAGGAUCAUUAAAGAGUAAGGGUGGUCCGCCCCCUUCCAACCCUUUGUUGUUAAAACUACCUUGUGCUUGGCGGGACCGUUAAAACACGAGCCGCUGGGGAUUCGUCCCAGGCGAGCGCCCGCCAAGUUAAACCAAACUCUUGUUAUUUAACCGGUCGUCUGAGUUAAAAUUUUGAAUAAAUCAAAACUUUCAACAACGGAUCUCUUGGUUCUCGCAUCGAUGAAGAACGCAGCGAAAUGCGAUAAGUAAUGUGAAUUGCAGAAUUCAGUGAAUCAUCGAAUCUUUGAACGCACAUUGCGCCCCUUGGUAUUCCGAGGGGCAUGCCUGUUCGAGCGUCAUUACCCCUCAAGCUAUGCUUGGUAUUGGGCGUCGCCUUAGUUGGGCGCGCCUUAAAGACCUCGGCGAGGCCACUCCGGCUUUAGGCGUAGUAGAAUUUAUUCGAACGUCUGUCAAAGGAGAGGAACUCUGCCGACUGAAACCUUUAUUUUUCUAGGUUGACCUCGGAUCAGGUAGGGAUACCCGCUGAACUUAAGCAUAUCAAUAACGGAGGAA
rnacentral:rRNA from 1 species